UACGGGGGGUGCAAGCGUUGUUCGGAAUUACUGGGCGUAAAGGGUGCGUAGGCGGCUUUCUAAGUUGGAUGUGAAAACUCUGGGCUCAACCCAGAGCCUGCAUCCAAAACUGGAGAGCUAGGGUUCUGGAGGGGAAAGCGGAAUUCCUGGUGUAGCGGUGAAAUGCGUAGAUAUCAGGAGGAACACCGGUGGCGAAGGCGGCUUUCUGGACAGAUACCGACGCUGAGGCACGAAAGCUAGGGGAGCAAACAGG
rnacentral:rRNA from 1 species